CCCUGCGGCCCUGAGCGUUACCACUACCACCCACUCGCAAGUCUGCCCAGGAAGGCUGCUGUCCCAGGGCCCAUCGGCAGCCCCUCCCAGUCACUCUUUUUUUUUUUCUCGGCCCACUCAGCCAUCGACUGUGUGUGGGAAGAGCCUUCGUGCAACUCAGGGCAGUCAGUGCCCACGACCAGACCCACCAUCCGGCUCGUGACUGCCGUACUUGUUCUCCUUGGGUCCUGUCACAGGACAGGGAAAGGCACACAGCCAACUCGCUGGCGCCCACUUAAAGCAGUAACUCUGCAAUCCCGGGGUCUAAAGGCAAGAGUCCCUGAGUUGUGCGCCUGAGUGCAAAUAUUAAGGGACCUGAUCCCGGUUGCCAGACUGAGGGAUCUCGGGUUCUGUACGGAAUCUUUUUCUCUGGGAGACACUGACCUUGAUCAGAAGCGCUUCCAGCCAUCGGCUGUCUUCACCCAGCUCUGGCCUGGGGACCGCCAGUCCUGCCCAAGGAACGGCAUGGCACCGAGCGCGGACGCGACCGACGGACAGGACGGAUUGAUAGCCGGGGACCGACCGGCCUGGCUGGCCCCGGGGAUGCGCGGCGCUGGAAAGAUGCUAGGGGAACACAGGCGGCGACCGGGACAAGUGUGGGGAACUGGUGUGGAGGGUUGCGGGUCUAGGGUGGGCGCGGGGGGUCCUUGCACUCGCAGAGGGCUCAGGCGCUGGGGAGGGUCUCCUGUCGCGUCGGACUCCGGGUAUGCUGCGCCAGGCUGCCGGGGCGCAGUAUUUAUCCGGGGCCUCUGCCCCGGCUCUUUGUUGCCGGAAGAGCCGCCUGCUCUUAGCCCGGCCCCCCCGGGCCCCGAGGCCACGUGGCUUUGUUUAUGGGCUCGCCUUGUUUUCCGAGGUGCUCGCGGCUCUCGCUCGGAUCGCGCGGUUGCACAACCUUGCGCCCGUGGAAACUUGAAGCCGCGUGGCCAGGCCAGAUGUCCCGCUGUCCCUCGGUCCCCUGGCACCUCUGCGCACCCCCCAACGGCCCGCUCCCUCCCCCCCACACACCGGGAGUAGCUGCCGCCACCGAGAUCCUGGCCCUGUACUCGGCACUAUGUUCUCCCCGCGGCUCCUGGACUAGCUAGGUGCAGCGAGGAAGCCGGCUCCGAGGGCUGGGAACCAUCAGACCCUAGGUGUCUGGGAACGUGGGGACGGAUCUUUGCAAGCAGAUCAGCCUAGGGGAGGCCAGAGUGUCAGGGGCAGGCAGGGUACGGGGCGCAGUCUCUGGACCUCUCUGACUGCCAGUACCAACUCCAGGCGCCAGGGUGUGCUAAGGGGAGGAGGGGACCGGGUGCGUCAGGAGUGGGGAGGGACAGCCCCCACCCCUUCCGCCUUAAAACUGUCAUUGAUGUGUGUACUGUCAAUCUCGACUCCCCCACCCCCCACUCCGGUGGCAAAAGAUGGGGAAAGAGGGGGAGACCCUGCGGCUUCUGGGCUCCAAGGCGUGGAAGGGAAGAGCUGAGACAGUCCUGGGCCCCACCCCGGGACUCGGAGCGAACAGCGCGCUGGCGACUGAGGCACCUGGUCCGAACGCUGCCAGUGCGGAGAGGCAGAAAGAGUCUCUGGCUACGCUCACUGUACCUGGUCUAGUGCCCCAGGGCUGCACUUUUAUCCUGUGGAAUCAUUGGAGCCCCCCUCUCUUGCCCUUUCUGCAGUUCAGUUCAUGCAGUUCAGGUUGUCCUCUGGCCUUUAGCUAUAAAGUCCUCUCCUGGGUUUCCAGUGGGGACCUGCCUGGUGUCAUCAUGGUUUUCAGGUGAAAGGCCAAUGGGUCCUCAGAGGGGGUUAAGACUACCCAGGGUCUUAUGGCUACUUUCUUCUCAACUAAUCGUCCCUUUCUGCAGAAUAUAAACUCCCUUUUAUUCUAGAGACAUCUCAGCCCAAUGCCUUGUUAUCAGGCCCAGAAUUGGCCACUCAUAAACAUCCUCUCUAUCUUGCCCCCCCCCCCCGCCCCCUUCCAUCCCCCUCUCCCAUGUAUGUCAGGUGUCUUCUUCUGUCAAUUUUGGUCUUAUUUAAUUUAUUUUUGAGACAAGACUCGCUGAACCUGGAGCUCAUUUAUUGUCUAGACUGGCAGGCCAAUGGACCUCUGGGUUCUCCUGGGUUUUCUCCCAGUACUGGGAUAAAGGCAUAGUGCAUUAUUUUUUUGUUUUUGUUUUUGUUUUUUUUUUUUAAACAUGAGUGCUGGCGAUCUGAACCCAGGUCCUCAUGCCUGCUCAUCACGACCUUAUUCACUGAGACAUCCCACUACCGAAUCAUCUCAGCAGCCUCUCCAUAGCCAGUUCUUGUGUGAACAAGGGAUUACUGCAUCAGGGUGAGGUGGCUUCCCAUUUCAUUCACUGGCCUCCCACCACUACCAGUCAGACCCGUCAAGUCACAUUCAUCGGUGCCUACGUGGCACCAGGCAGUAGCAGCAAAGAAAAAAAAAUCCCAUUAAUUAAUUAAAUUAAUUAGAGAAUUAGCUUCCUGCUCUCUUCUUCCACACCCUGGCCUCUGUAGCCAUGGGCAGUGUCUCUUGCUCUGUGCAUUGAGGCUGGGUAAGCAGAGGAACUGAGUGUGCCUGGGGGGGUCUCUCUUGCAAGGGGGAAGGAGAUGUUUUUAAUAAAGUCUGUCUUCAAGUAGCCAGGAUUUUCUGAUUUUGGUUUCCCACCAUAAAUAAUUUAUUAGUGCAGCAGUAGUAAAAAUGGCUUGUAAAAGCAGAGCAGAAGGUCCCAAAUAAUGUUAAACUCCCAUCAGGCUAAGAGAAGAGGCAACGCUGGGCCGGGGCUUUGUUGAAGAAGAACUAAUUUGGGCCCUGAAACACAAGGGAUGUGAUUAUCAACGAUGCCGGGGGCUACUUCCAGGAAGAAACCACAGAGGUCUGGAAGGCAGAGGCUGUGAAUUCUAAUUUUGCUAAAGCAGCCUACACUUCGUCCGGUGAACAACAGAAGGCUCCACAGACUCAAGACAAUGGUGCAGGGGAUGCCUGCCUUUCAGACUGUUGAGAGAGUAUAGUAGUUGGGGUUUUUAAGCGCCAUUUCUUUCCUCUCUGUUAUAAUAGUGGUAUGGAUCCACGCUCUUGACCUGGCCGCUUGCAGGAGAGUGGAGGAAGCCUUGGGUGAACAUGUAAAGAACAGUUGAAACCCUGAGUGUGUAUUAUUAACAUGCUUACCGUUAUGUCAAGGGCUCCAGUGCAUUAGACCAAUGAGAGUGGCCAAACCUUCUCCAAGUUAGGUUCAGGAAAUUGGCAAAAGUCUUCCUGUGUGUUGUGCAACAGUUUCCUCCAAGAUGGAAACAUUCCAUACUGUGGGGAAGCUCUUUAAGCAGAGAGGUAAACUACUCAAAAUAGGUUCAGGAAGUCCCUGAAACCGACAAGAUUCACUAGGCCCCCUCGGGCCAGAGUAAGCAAUAAAGACUGCCAAGGGUCACUCUCAGAGAAGCCAAGGUGAAUAGGAGACUGUCAGCCAAGCCAAGCUGUAAAAAUGAGACCAGACAGGAUGCCUGGAAGCAGCAGAGACCACCUAGCAGCCUGGAAGAGGUUUAGACCAGAGUCACUUGGAAAGGACACUCUCCAACCUGCUGAGCUGCCUGAAGGCUGUGAGGUGUGUUCCAAGUUCCCAUUGUUGUGCCUUGUCACCCAUGCUGUGGUGGGUCUUGGUGAUGCAGCUGUCUCUGAGUCAUUUCUGCUCCUGUAACUAACCUCUCACCCAUAUUCCUGCAAGUAACCCCAAUAACACUCGUUGGUUUACCAAGCUCGAUUUGGGUGGUAUCCAUACUUUGAUCUGUCCUGGGCUCCCACUCUAUGGUGACUAGACGUGUCUGUAGUGUCUCCCCAACAAAAGUUUUGUCACAUAACACAAUGACCCAAGUACAAGUGUUUAUGAACGACUGACCGGUGUGUAUAAAAACUAUCAACCACAGCAUUCUCCUCUGGGAUCACCGCAGCCUGAGACUGCUUCCCUACAGAGACCUUCUAUUGAGACUAGGUAAGCCUGCCCCUGAGGUGUAUACCAUCAACCCGCCUCCUCCAUUCAGAUGUGUAAAAUAAAGGCUGUGUUUCUGGGCUGCUUCUGUGGUUGCUGCAUCUCCACCAGCGUGCAUGGCCUGGCCCACCCAAGCCCAGAUUUUCUCUACCUUUCUGUACCUGUGUAUCUUUUUUCCAUUCUCUUGCUGCCCCAGUCAGUUUUCCAGAACUAAAGCCAUGCAGGACACAGCAGCAUCUGGAUGGGCAAUCUGUACCUUUGAGUUACUGGCCAUGUGACUUGCUUGGGCCAAUGGAAUAAAUGCUAGGAACAUGUGAUGAGGACAGAGGUUAUUUACCUACAGAAUUGAGAUCUCUUGUUUCUACCCUUCCGUAUCCUGGAUAGUCACUACUCUUUGAACUGCUAGAGUGGCACCAUGUAUCCUGGGAUGUGACACAUGAAACAGGUCUCCCUGGUAUCCUACAUAUGUUAGCAAGAAAUAAAGGUUUCCUGUAGAAA